AGUCAGCAGCGGAUCUUAUCGAGGAUAUGGUAGAAGAGAAGAAACGGCGCUGCAUCUAGGGUGAGUCCCUCCCUAGAGUAAUUCUUAACCUAUUUUAACAACGCUGCUGCUGUCCCUCCAGGAUGCAGUCAGGACAGCCAGGUUCUUGAUGGAUUGAGUUCUGAAUUAGAAGGGAAAGCCCUCCUUUUUUUCCUAGAAGGAGAGGACAUGGGAAGGGAUUACCCUAUCACCAUUGUGUGUGUGUGUGUCCCCCCAAAUGUGCACAUUUGUAGUGAGUGUAUUUGGGAUCACGUACUUCCCUGGUCACUUCUCCAGCACACACAGACUAAACCACAUUUGAUUGCUUGUAUUAACUCAGAUGAAUGGAAUUUAAGUCGUAUGAUACUUUCUCUAUACCUUUUGAGGGAAUGAGACAUGACCUAAGCUGUUCCCAGAAGCCUUUCUGCUCCACACACUUUACAGGUUUUUUCCUUUGCAGAUGGAAAAACAGCGGAGGGAAGCAGACUCAUUGUUCAGCAGCUUCCAGGAGGUUUAACAGAAAGCUAAGAGACUUAUGACUUUAUUUUCCCUACUGGGGAUUUAGCAUUUUCUUGAUUAAGUGACACUGAGACAAAAAACUGAAAUAACAGAGUCUCAGAGACUUGGGUCUACCACAGGGUCCAGAUGAGGCAAAAGACAGAGCAGGAAGCGUGCACACACUCAAAGCAAGGGGCUUUGGUGGACACCCACAGAGCAUCCCCAGCCUCUGCUGGCCGAGGGGAAGGUGGGAGUAUGUUCUGGAAAAUGCACCCUAGGCAGGAUUUGGAGAGAGAGAGGGGAUGAUACGCUUCCUUUUUUCUUUUAAUGUUAAGAUCUUGGCAGACUACCACUCUCGGGCCCAUUAAAAUUCAGG
rnacentral:lncRNA from 1 species